GGGAGGUGCUGAGCCCGUGUGGGGCUGCAGGGCUGGAGGGGGGUGCAGUGUGUCUCAUGGGGGCUCAAACCGGCGCUGUUCUAUCUGUGAUGCUUCGCAGGACUUCAUCAGCCCCGAGUGGAUCCAUCCCUGAGGUGGCUGGACCAGAAGAUCCAUUCUGCAAGAUGGUGAGAGUGCUGCUCUUGCAGUCUGGUUACAGCUGUAUGGUGUUUUUAGGUAAUACAAAGUCAUUUUGCUUAGCUAGAUGGUAAGCAUGAAUAAAAUCCAGUUCUCAAAGUUGA